GAUGAAGAACGUAGCGAAAUGCGAUAAGUAAUGUGAAUUGCAGAAUUCAGUGAAUCAUCCAAUCUUUGAACGCACCUUGCGCCCCUUGGUUAUUCCAAAGGGCAUGCCUGUUUGAGUAUCAUGAACACCUCAACUCUUGUGGUUUCCCACAAUGAGCUUGGACUGUGGAGGUUUUGUUGGCCCUGUGGUCAGCUCCUCUCAAAUGGAUCAGCUUACCGGUGUUUGGUGGCAUUACGGGUGUGAUAACUAUCUACGCUCGUGGUCGUCUCCAAAUAACCUCCAGUGAUGGAGGUUCGCUGGAGCUUAUAAAUGUCUCUCCCCAGUGAAGACAGCCUUUGAACGUUCGAUCUCAAAUCAGGUAGGACUACCCGCUGAACUUAAGCAUAUCAAUAAGCGGAGGA
rnacentral:misc_RNA from 1 species